UACGUAGGGGGCAAGCGUUGUCCGGAAUCAUUGGGCGUAAAGCGCGUGUAGGCGGUCCGGUAAGUCCGCUGUGAAAGUCGGGGGCUCAACCCUCGGAUGCCGGUGGAGUACUGUCGGGCUUGAGUACGGAAGAGGCGAGUGGAAUUCCGUGGUGUAGCGGUGAAAUGCGCAGAGUAUCAGGAGGAACACCAAUUGCGAAGGCAGCUCGCUGG
rnacentral:rRNA from 1 species